AUCUAGCCCCGAUUGAGGCGGUAUCCUCGUAACGGAGUGAAGAGAUAAAGCCGAAAGCGGGAAACCAU
rnacentral:sRNA from 1 species